rnacentral:rRNA from 1 species
UACGUAGGGUGCAAGCGUUUAAUCGGAAUUACUGGGCGUAAAGCGUGCGCAGGCGGUGAUGUAAGACAGUUGUGAAAUCCCCGGGCUCAACCUGGGAACUGCAUCUGUGACUGCAUCGCUGGAGUGCGGCAGAGGGGGAUGGAAUUCCGCGUGUAGCAGUGAAAUGCGUAGAUAUGCGGAGGAACACCGAUGGCGAAGGCAAUCCCCUGGGCCUGCACUGACGCUCAUGCACGAAAGCGUGGGGAGCAACAGG